CACGUAGGGCGCAAGCGUUGUCCGGAAUUAUUGGGCGUAAAGAGCUCGUAGGCGGUCUGUUGCGUCCGCUGUGAAAACUCGGGGCUUAACCCCGAGCCUGCAGUGGAUACGGGCAGACUAGAGGUAGGUAGGGGAGAAUGGAAUUCCCGGUGUAGCGGUGAAAUGCGCAGAUAUCGGGAGGAACACCAAUGGCGAAGGCAGCUCGCUGGGACGUUACUGACGCUGAGACGCGAAAGCGUGGGGAGCAAACAGG
rnacentral:rRNA from 1 species